AUUCUCCACGGCGAUGUGCAAAACAGCGUAUGAAGGGAAAACAGGUAGAAGAACCUGAUGACGUGAAGGGGUGAGACGGUCCUGGAGGAUGAAAGACUCAACGCUUCAGCAGCAAAAAAAAAAACACCGCCAGUACGUCUUUCACCAGAGGAAAAGUCCCAGAGUGUGAGCGUGUUCGGCGCUGCGGCAGCCACCGGUGUGACUGAUCCUGAUGACAGCUCUGACUGCUGCUGCUGCUGCUUGUACUUUGUUCAAGUACAACAGCAAACAGUGCUUUCACCCA